UGAUUUUUUUGAUUGAAAGUGAUUAAAACUUCAGUUUCUUUAUAUGCUGCCAUUACUGUUAAGGCUAUCGUGGGUUGUCAAUUACUUCCUGUGACGUCACAUGAUUUGUAAGAUCUUUCAAGAUCUUGUAAGACUCAAAAUACUGUGAUGUGUGAUCUUACAGUAUCAUAAGAUCAUGGGACAUUUACCAAGAUCAUAAACUUAUGAGAUUUUGUAAGAUCUUAUGAGAUUUUAAGCUAACAAGAUCAUGUUAGUUCUUACAAAGUUCACAAUGUGGGAUAUUUCAAGAUUUUAAUUAGGCAUGAUCUUACAUUUUCUAACAUAUUCCUUUACUCAUAAGAUCUUUGAAAUUCUUACAAAAAUUAUAGUCAUGUUAGAUCUUGGGAGAUCUGACAGCUUCUUAAAAUCUUAUGAAAUCUUAAAGCAAGAAUUUGUAAGAAUUUCUGUGACAAGAUUUUACAAGAUUUCUAUCUUGCGUUUUCUUGUAUUGUCAUGUGAAAUCAUGAAACAUCUUAUAAGAUCUUGCUGGGAUUUUUUACAAGGGAAACUACGGAAGAGAUUUUGUUAACAUUAUAGUUAGACCAGGACCAGAGCCCCAUGUCAACAAAGCUCCUCAUAUCCCCCAGUACUAACAUCACUAUAAAACCCUUCGAUAAACUAAUACUAGAUGCCUCAAAAACAAGUGACGAUGGACCCAAGGCAGAACUCUACCAGUGGGACUUAAUUAGUGGCGGGUCUCAGGGAACCGGGAUUGUUGGACCCAAUCAUUACUAACACUGGAACACCUCAAUGUUGGAAAAUACGUUUUUAAGUUGAGAGUGACUGAUGGUGAUGGAGCAGUAGGUGUGGCGUAUGCUAAUGUUACUGUACAGGCGGAACCUGAUUACCCACCAACAGCUGAUGCUGGAGAGUCAGUAUUGAUACAAUUACCUCA